rnacentral:rRNA from 1 species
AUUGAACGCUGGCGGAAUGCUUUACACAUGCAAGUCGAACGGUAGAGGGGGCAACCCCUCGAGAGUGGCGAACGGGUGAGUAAUAUAUCGGAACGUGCCCAGUCGUGGGGGAUAACGUAGCGAAAGUUACGCUAAUACCGCAUACGAUCUAAGGAUGAAAGCGGGGGAUCGCAAGACCUCGCGCGAUUGGAGCGGCCGAUAUCAGAGUAGGUAGUUGGUGGGGUAAAGGCUCACCAAGCCAACGAUCUGUAGCUGGUCUGAGAGGACGACCAGCCACACUGGAACUGAGACACGGUCCAGAGUCCUACGGGAGGCAGCAGUGGGGAAUUUUGGACAAUGGACGCAAGUCUGAUCCAGCCAUUCCGCGUGCAGGAUGAAGGCCCUCGGGUUGUAAACUGCUUUUGUACGGAACGAAAAGGUCUCUCUUAAUACGGGGGACUCAUGACGGUACCGUAAGAAUAAGCACCGGCUAACUACGUGCCAGCCGCCGCCGUAA